rnacentral:rRNA from 1 species
GUCCACGCACUAAACGAUGACGACUAGUUGUUGGAGGAGUUAAAUCCUUUAGUAACGCAGCUAACGCGCGAAGUCGUCCGCCUGGGGAGUACGGUCGCAAGAUUAAAACUCAAAGGAAUUGACGGGGGCCCGCACAAGCGGUGGAUGAUGUGGUUUAAUUCGAUGCAACGCGAAAACCUUACCUACCCUUGACAUGCUAGGAACUCUGCAGAGAUGCAGAGGUGCCCGAAAGGGAACCUAGACACAGGUGCUGCAUGGCUGUCGU